AAUGAACGCUGGCGGCGUGCUUAACACAUGCAAGUCGUGCGCGAAGGUGGCUUCGGCCACCGGAGAGCGGCGGACGGGUGAGUAACACGUGGGUAAUCUGCCUGGGAGCGGGGGAUAACCUGGGGAAACUCGGGCUAAUACCGCAUACGUUUGCGAGAUCAUGGUCUCGUCAAGAAAGCUGGCCUCUGCUUGCAAGCUAGCACUCCCAGAGGAGCCCGCGGCUGAUUAGCUAGUUGGUGAGGUAAUGGCUCACCAAGGCGACGAUCAGUAGCCGGCCUGAGAGGGUGAUCGGCCACACUGGGACUGAGACACGGCCCAGACUCCGUACGGGAGCAGCAGUGGGGAAUAUUGGACAAUGGGCGCAAGCCUGAUCCAG
rnacentral:rRNA from 1 species